AGAUUGAAAACUAUUGAAAACUGUUGAAAAGACAAGAGAGGAGAUUGAAAACUAUUGAAAACUCCUGAAAAGACAGAGAGGAGAUUGAAAACUAUUGAAAACUCUCUGGAAGUCAUUUUAGUCUAUGCAAAACAGUGUUUGGGAUUCCAUACUAGAUGUGCGCCUCAAAUGGCACCACAUUCCCUACGUAGUGCACUACUUUUGACCAGGGUCAAUAGGGUAGUAGUGCACUACUUUUUGACCAGGGUGCAUACAGCUCAGCUCAAACGCAGUGCACUACAUAGGGAAUAGGGUACCGUUAGGAACGAAGCCUAGGAAUGUUCAUGCUUUUUAUAGCCUGCAACACUAGAUAGUGAGGACUGAGGUUUUGCACUUUGAAUCUCUCUGCAGGGUUUUUUUAAAUGCAGAGGGGUAAGUAACUAUGCCACUAAUACCAAGGGAUGCUUCCUGCCCAUCUGCCUAUAAACAGCACUGCCAAUCAUUAUGAAAUGAUGAGUCCACAGAGUUAAUUCACUGUGUUCCAGACGGUACUUUCAGAAUUGGAUCGACUUCCUUAUCUAAUUCGCUGUGUUCCAGACGGUACUUUCAGAAUUGGAUCGACUUCCUUAUCUAAUUCGCGGUGUUCCAGACAGUACUUUCAGAAUUGGAUCCACUUCCUUAUCUUAUUCACUGUGUUCCAGACAGUACUUUCAGAAAUCGCUUCACUGGAAGCAUAUUCCACCCACUGUGGAAGCAUAUUCCACCCACUAUGGAAGCAUAUUCCACCCACUGUGGAAGCAUAUUCCACCCACUAUGGAAGCAUAUUCCCAUUCUCACAAACAUAACAGCAUGAAAUCCUUGUUUUGUCCUCUGUGUGAAUAACUAGCUAUAUUGUUACAGAUGUUACAGAUCAUGCAUGUGUCUUAAAGGCCUUACACAGAGUCACACACAGAGACCAAUAUCAGGCUAAAGAUAUGGCUCUGGUUCUACAAAUGCUGUCCAUUUCUGGUCUCACAGACAGUCACUGUGUGUCCCUAGUCCCUCUUCCUCUACAGACAGUCACUGUGUGUCCCUCCUCCGCUACAGACAGUCACUGUGUGACCCUCCUCCUCUACAGACAGUCACUGUGUGUCCCUAGUCCCUCCUCCUCUACAGACAGUCACUGUGUGUCCCUCCUCCUCUACAGACAGUCACUGUGUGUCCCUCUUCCUCUACAGACAGUCACUGUAUGUCCCUAGUCCCUCCUCUACAGUCUCUGUUCCCUCCUCCUCUACAGACAGUCACUGUGUGUCCCUCCUCCUCUACAGACAGUCUCUGUGUGUCCCUCCUCCUCUACAGACAGUCUCUGUGUGUCCCCAGUCCUCUACAGACAGUCUCUGUGUGUCCCUAGUCCCUCCUCUACUUUCCUCUGCAUGCUGUGGAGUUCACCAGGACUUCUCCAUGAACGGUGUGGGUCUGCUUCUUCACACACACUGGGUGUGUUCCAGGUGGUCUGUUUUGCAGUCAUGAUGCACAUCUCAGAAGAUUACAAUACGUCAUAUUUAUGAGCUGCCUGAGAUGUUAAAAAAACCUCUCGGGAACACACCCACACCCUCAAUGAUAAUACUGUAAACAUGUCUGUGUGUUUUUUGCAGUUUCCUUCAUCAAUGCUAAUACUGUAAACAUUUCUGUGUGUUUUCUGCAGUUUCCUUCCUAAUACUGUAAACAUGUCUGUGUGUUUUCUGCAGUUUCCUUCCUAAUACUGUAAACAUGUCUGUGUGUUUUUCUGCAGUUUACCUUCCUAAUACUGUAAACAUGUCUGUGUGUUUUUUGCAGUUUCCUUCCUAAUACUGUAAACAUGUCUGUGUGUUUUUCUGCAGUUUCCUUCCUCAAUGAUAAUACUGUAAACAUGUCUGUGUGUUUUUCUGCAGUUUCCUUCCUAAUACUGUAAACAUGUCUGUGUGUUUUCUGCAGUUUCCUUCCUAAUACUGUAAACAUGUCUGUGUGUUUUUCUACCACAGUGAGGCGCAUUGUUAGCUCAACACAACAGUGUAAAUAUUGUGUAAAGUAAAAGUGUCAGGGAUUCAUGGUAAACAUCGCAUUCCUCCGACGUCUUGUGAUACAUGCUAUACACACGUACUGUAACUAUGGUGUAAUUUUUGGUGAACUUUUCUGUUUUGUAAAAUAAUAUAAAAUGUAUGAGGAUAACAAUAAU
rnacentral:lncRNA from 1 species